rnacentral:lncRNA from 1 species
AUGAAGGUGGAAGUUUUCAUAUCCCUUUGGAUAACUACCCCUUUUGAGACUACUUUCAUAGCAUAGAUCAACUACCAAGCCACGCACCGCCGUGCUCUAAAAGAUAUAAGUGAAGCACAUAGAGCAAAAGCAACUAGCUCAAAAGAUAUAAGUGAAGCACAUGUGAGCUGAAUUGUCUAACCAAAGGGUAUAAGUGAAGCUCGACAAAAUCACGGUGAGUGCAUGUCUCUCUCUAGGUGUACAGCAAGGAUGAUUGUGACACAACAAAAAUAAAAGACUCCUACGAUACAAGACGCUCCAAGCAAAACACAUAACAUGUGGUGAAUAAAAAUAU